GAGAAGGUCAUGUAUUGCUAGUUUAUUUCAAGUAUGGUUUGCUUUAAUUUUCUCAUUUGUUGAGACGCCUUUCUUCUGGAACUGAAGAGCCUAGCAUCUGACACUUAACUGGCCAACUGUGUCAUACCAUCACGAUGGGAGACCGUCCAUCCGCCACUCUCUCACCAGGCCAGUUUCAACAUUCAAAUCCUCCUGCAUCAGCCUCUAGAGUACCAGAAUUAGAGGCAUGCGCCAACACACUUAGCUAACCACUCUUUCAGUGACUGACUACUCACUGAGAAGCAACCUAUGUCCUGCAGGGCCUGGACUAUUCCGCAGUAUCUAGGUCCACUCAACAACCGUACAAUCCAGUUCUGUAUUCAAGGAGCCUAGAGCGGUCAACAGAAGAUCGUCAGAGUUAGGAUGGGCAGCAUGAGCCCAGUCUGCAGGCAGAUGUUCCGGCUACAGCUGGAGCCUAGAGCCUCACGAGAAUGGAAGUUGGUGGCAAAGGACUCUAGUCCAGCUGUACACUCACUCACUCAUGUGACCUCUAUUGAAACAGGGACACCUGAGCUGCCAAGGUUACAGAGUCACUGUGGGAAUUUAGUGAAGGGGGUACAUGACAAAAGAUCUUGCAACCUAGCAGCUCUCUACAGUAUGAGUCUUAUUAUUGUGACACAAUCCCAGGGUAGUGUGGUGUGAAUGACCCUCUUCACCCUGUGAGCACAUCCCUGCUGUAAGGGACUGAGACACACACAUUUGAGGAAGAUUGAUGUUGCUGCCAGGACACACCUAAGCAGAUCAUUAUCUAUAACAUGGACACAGACUCAGUGCCCAGAAUCUUUGGCUUUUACUGUGUUCAAAAGCACGGUAUUAAACCUAAAAUCAACCUAAGAUGAAAUUCACUUUUCUGGAGCUAUUCCAUCAAAAGUUGCAUGUAUACAUUUCAUGUGUUUGCUGAUACCCCAGGAAACUGAGAGGUUUAGAAGGAAGCAAGAAAGCAAGAGACCUCAAGUAGUCCACGAUCUCCUCAAGACCAUUAGAGUGCCUUCUGAAAACCACAGAGCUGGAGCUGGACCGUUUCAACCCAGAUCCUUGUGUGAAGUUCAAAGUGGCCUCUGAGGUCAUAGAGCUAAGGCACCGGUCACCCAAGGAAGCUGUUUGAUGUUCUACUUCUCACUUUUCAUGCUGAGCCAAGGAAUGGCCCCUCAGCAACCAUCUAUGGUAAUGUAGAAAUGGCCAUGUAUUGCUAGAUCAGUUUACCUCCAGCUUCAGCCUAAUAUACAAUCAGCUCCUAUACAUCACACAGCUAAUACAGGUCAUUCAGGACACAUGGCUUAUAGAGAUCAUUCAGGACAGAUGGCCACCAUCUCACCUCCUUCUUGGAAUGAAACCCACCUCCCACAUGGCCACCCCCCGGCUCUUCCCCGGCUCCUGCUGGCUUAUCCCAGCCAUGUGGGCCCUUCUGCCAGCCACCGCUGUCAGAAAUGUAUAGCAGGGCUUUUAAUCACCUGCCAAUGGGCCUGUGAGUGCAGAUGCUCACCCUGGAGCCAAGAGAGAUUCGCAUAAGAGCUGGAAGAGCCAACAGGCACAGAUUGGUCAUUGUGGAGGCAUGGAAGGGGCAUGUGUAGCUGUGGUCACAAAAAAGAAAAAAAGAAAAAGCAAGCAGCUUUUUGAAGAGGUCUAGGGUCUUCUCCUUGUCCACCUGCCACUGGGUGUUAUAAAUAAAGUUUUAUGGAAACAUA